rnacentral:lncRNA from 1 species
AACGACCAUUGAACGGCAUGUCCUGAUUUGCGGUGGACGUAAACAAGCGGUGUCUGAAAAACACACGGUCGACGAGUCGAAAGAGAGCAACGCUAACGCCAGCGACUUCUGUGGGAUGUUUUUGCGAUAAUGUCCUUCCAGAGGAUCCGGCGACUGAGGGUUUUGAAGUUCCUUUGGUUGGAUAGUUGGAUUCGAAAGAACGUUCCUCCAUUGACACCACUCUGCACCAAAGCCAAUAAUGUAAAGAAGCCUAUCAGAUAUACAAGUAUAAGUAAGUUAUGAUUUUUAUUGCACUUUGACUUUUUGUUGUGUGGUGUCUUA